AUUGAACGCUGGCGGCAUGCCUUACACAUGCAAGUCGAACGGCAGCACGGGUGCUUGCACCUGGUGGCGAGUGGCGAACGGGUGAGUAAUACAUCGGAACAUGUCCUGUAGUGGGGGAUAGCCCGGCGAAAGCCGGAUUAGUACCGCAUACGAUCUACGGAUGAAAGCGGGGGACCUUCGGGCCUCGCGCUAUAGGGUUGGCCGAUGGCUGAUUAGCUAGUUGGUGGGGUAAAGGCCUACCAAGGCGACGAUCAGUAGCUGGUCUGAGAGGACGACCAGCCAAACUGGGACUUGAGAACGGCCCAAACUCCUACGGGGAGCAGCAGGUGGGAAUUUUGGGCAAAGGGGCGAAGGCCUGUCCAAGAAAGCCGGGGUGGGUGAAGAGGCCUUCCGGUUGGUAAACACUUUUUGCCGGGAAAAAAACCUUUGCCCUAAAUCGGUCCGGGGAUGACGGUACCGGAAGAAUAAGCACCGGCUAACUACGUG
rnacentral:rRNA from 1 species